GGCAACGGCAGUGCAGGAGGUGAGGGGCAUCCAUGUUAAGUGCUGGGGUCAGGGAUGCCCUCUCUGAGAAGAUGGCUUUCAGCUAAGAUUGGAAGAAGGUAAAGGAAAAAGGCGUAGACAUACUGGUAGGGGUGGAGGGGGGUUCGAGGGGAAGAGCAUCUGGGGCAGAGAAAACAGCCAGGACCAAGUUUUGGAGACUGGAGUACGCCUGUUAUGUUCAAGCAAUAGCAACAAGGCAGUAUGCAAGAGGCAGGGGCAAAGGGAGCAAGUGGGAGAGUGGGGGAUGAGGUUAGUGAGGUAAUGAGGGCUGCCACAUCGUCCUGAGGAUGGUGGCUUUCUCUUGGUGAGAUGGAGAGCCACUGGAGAGAUUUCAGCAGAAGAGUAAAUUGUUCCCAUUUAUGAUUUGAAGGGCGCAUCCUGGCAUUAAGAGAAGAUUACAGGCAGGCGCAAUGGUUCACACCUGUAAUCCUAGCACUUUGGGAGGCCGAGGUGGGUGGAUCACUUGAGGUCAGGAGUUCGACACCAGCCUGGCCAACAUGGCGAAAACCUGUCUCUACUAAAAAUACAAAAAUUAGCUGGGCAUGGUGGUGCGUGCCUGUAGUCCCAGAUACUCUGGAGGCUGAAGCAUGAGAAUCGCUUGAACCUGAGAGGCAGAGGUUGCAAUGACCGAGAUGGCGGCACUGCACUCUAGCCUGGGCAACAGAGGGAUACUCUGUCUCAAAAACAAAGAAAGAAAAAGAAAAGAAAAGACUACAGCCUUGCAUCACUUAAUGAUCGGGUACUAUUCUGAGAAAUGCAUCAUUAGGUGAUUUCAUCAUUGUGUGACCACCAUAGAGUGAACUUAGACAAACUUAGAUGGUGUGACCUACUACACACCUAGACUAUAUGAUAUGGCCUAUUGCUCCUAGGCUACAAACCUGUACAGCAUGUUAUUGGACUGAAUACUGUAGGCAAUUGUAAGACAAUGGUGUUUGUGUAUUUAAACACAGAAAAGGUACAGUAAAAAUACAGUAUUAUAAUCUUACGGGACCACUGUAUUGUAUGUGGCCUGUCAUUGAUUGAAACAUUGUUUUGCAGCACAUGGCUGUAUAGUGAAAGUAAAAUUGGAAGUAGGAUGUGCUGGCUCUGCCAGUGCAUACACUAAAAUUGGAGCUAUAUAGAGAAAAUUAGCACGAUCCUGUGCAAGAAUGACAUGCAAAUUCCUGAAGCAUUUGAUAUU
rnacentral:lncRNA from 1 species